rnacentral:lncRNA from 1 species
GUUAGAUAAUAAAAUAUUGGGCUUAUGCAAUUGGACCCAUUAGGUUUAUAGUCCACUAGGUUUUGCUAUAUAACAAUCUCUUGUAACUCUAUUUUAUUAAGUAAUGCAAUUGUGAUGUUUCUAACCCUAGCCUCCAUUGUUCACUUCUCUAUUUUGUAUCUCUGAAUCUAACAUGGUAUCGAGAGCUUGUUUCGAUCCACCUUGAACUGCUCGUUAUUGUUACGUUGUUGAGUUCCCAAUUUGGGAAUUUGUUUGCUUUGUUUUUUGUUUUGGGUGAUUGAUUGAAUUUCGUGCCUCCACUGCUAAAAGGGUAUUUGUGUUGGAUCUUAAGUUGGCUAUAUAUGGUGGGAUAUGAAGGCUUGCUGCUGCUUUGUAAUUUUUGGUCAUGUGCUUCGUUCAAACAAUUAAAAGUGGCAUAUGUUUGUUGGUAUUGAUUUGUGCAUCUCGUUAGGU